rnacentral:rRNA from 1 species
AACGCGAAAGGCCCCUUCGGGGGCCGAGUAGAGUGGCGUCCGGGUGAGUAACACGUAGGUAAUCUACCUCUGGGUGGGGAAUAACGACCGGAAACGGUCGCUAAUACCGCAUAAUGCAGCGGCACCACAUGGUGACAGUUGUUAAAGCGGGGGAUCGUAAGACCUCGCGCCUAGAGAGGAGCCUGCGGCGGAUUAGCUAGUUGGUAGGGUAAUGGCCUACCAAGGCAACGAUCCGUAGCCGGCCUGAGAGGGCGGUCGGCCACACUGGCACUGACACACGGGCCAGACUCCUACGGGAGGCAGCAGUCGGGAAUUUUGGGCAAUGGGCGAAAGCCUGACCCAGCAACGCCGCGUGAAGGAUGAAGCUUUUCGGAGUGUAAACUUCAUAAGAAUGGGACGAAUAAGGAAGGGUUAAUACCCCUUUUGAUGACGGUACCAUUUGUAAGCUCCGGCUAACUCCGUGCCAGCAGCCGCGGUAAUACGGGGGGAGCAAGCGUUGUUCGGAUUUACUGGGCGUAAAGGGCGCGUAGGCGGCGCAACAAGUCACUUGUGAAAUCUCCGGGCUUAACCCGGAGCGGCCAAGUGAUACUGUCGUGCUAGAGUGCGGAAGGGGCUACUGGAAUUCUCGGUGUAGCGGUGAAAUGCGUAGAUAUCGAGAGGAACACCUGCGGCGAAGGCGGGUAGCUGGGCCGACACUGACGCUGAGGCGCGAAAGCCAGGGGAGCGAACGGGAUUAGAUACCCCGGUAGUCCUGGCCUUAAACGA